rnacentral:rRNA from 1 species
CCUACGGGGGGCAGCAGUGGGGAAUAUUGCACAAUGGGGGAAACACUGAUGCAGCGACGCCGCGUGAGUGAAGAAGUAUUUCGGUAUGUAAAGCUCUGUCAGCAGGGAAGAAAAUGACGGUACCUGACCAAGAAGCCGCGGCUAACUACGUGCCAGCAGCCGCAGUAAUACGUAGGGGGCAAGCGUUAUCCGGAUUUACUGGGUGUAAAGGGAGCGUAGACGGCAGGGCAAGUCUGCAGUGAAAGGCGGGGGCUCAACCCCCGGACUGCUCUGGAAACUGCCAGGCUGGAGUGCAGGAGAGGUAAGUGGAAUUCCUGGUGUAGCGGUGAAAUGCGUAGAUAUUAGGAGGAACACCAGUGGCGAAGGCGGCUUACUGGACUGUAACUGACGUUGAGGCUCGAAAGCGUGGGGAGCAAACAGGAUUAGAUACCCUGGUAGUC